UACGUAGGGUGCGAGCGUUGUCCGGAAUUACUGGGCGUAAAGCGCACGUAGGCGGCUAUUCAAGUCGGGGGUGAAAGCCCGGGGCUCAACCCCGGAACUGCCCUCGAAACUAGAUAGCUAGAAUCUUGGAGAGGUCAGUGGAAUUCCGAGUGUAGAGGUGAAAUUCGUAGAUAUUCGGAAGAACACCAGUGGCGAAGGCGGCUGACUGGACAUGUAUUGACGCUGAGGUGCGAAAGCGUGGGGAGCAAACAGG
rnacentral:rRNA from 1 species